rnacentral:rRNA from 1 species
AGUGAACGCUGGCGGUAGGCCUAACACAUGCAAGUCGAACGGCAGCACAGUAAGAGCUUGCUCUUACGGGUGGCGAGUGGCGGACGGGUGAGGAAUACAUCGGAAUCUACUUUUUCGUGGGGGAUAACGUAGGGAAACUUACGCUAAUACCGCAUACGACCUACGGGUGAAAGCAGGGGAUCUUCGGACCUUGCGCGAUUGAAUGAGCCGAUGUCGGAUUAGCUAGUUGGCGGGGUAAAGGCCCACCAAGGCGACGAUCCGUAGCUGGUCUGAGAGGAUGAUCGGCCGCACUGGAGCUGAGACACGGACAAGACUCCUACGGGAGGCAGCAGUGGGGAAUAUUGGACAAUGGGCGCAAGCCUGAUCCAGCCAUACCGCGUGUGUGAAGAAGGCCUUCGGGUUGUAAAGCCCUUUUGUGGGGAAAGAAAAGCAGCAGGUUAAUACGCAGCUGUUGUGACGGUACCCAAAGAAUAAGCACCGGCUAACUUCGUG